rnacentral:rRNA from 1 species
UGGUAUGUACUGGUCUCACUGAUUCCUCCUUCCUGAUGAGCCGUAAUGCCAUUAAUUUGGUGUUGCGGGGAAUUUGGACUGUUACUUUGAAAAAAUUAGAGUGUUUAAAGCAAGCUAACGCUUGAAUACAUUAGCAUGGAAUAAUGAAAUAGGACGUUCGAUCCUAUUUUGUUGGUUUCUAGGAUUGACGUAAUGAUUAAUAGGGAUAGUUGGGGGCAUUAGUAUUCAAUUGUCAGAGGUGAAAUUCUUGGAUUUAUUGAAGACUAACUACUGCGAAAGCAUUUGCCAAGGAUGUUUUCAUUAAUCAAGAACGAAAGUUAGGGGAUCGAAGACGAUCAGAUACCGUCGUAGUCUUAACCAUAAACUAUGCCGACUAGGGAUCGGAUGAUGUUAAUUUUUUAAUGACUCAUUCGGCGCCUUACG